GAUUAACGCUGGCGGCGUGCAUAACACAUGCAAGUCGAACGAUGAAACUUUAAUGAACCCUUCGGGGAGAAUUAAAGCGGAUUAGUGGCGAACGGGUGAGUAACGCGUGAGUAACCUGCCUUACACAAGGGGAUAGCCUUUGGAAACGAAGAAUAAUACCCUAUAAAACCAUAAAAGCACAUGCAAUUAUGGUCAAAGUGAUAGCGGUGUAAGAUGGACUUGCGUCUGAUUAGCUAGUUGGUGAGAUAAAAGCCCACCAAGGCAACGAUCAGUAGCCGGCUUGAGAGAGUGUACGGCCACAUUGGGACUGAGACACGGCCCAGACUCCGACGGGAGGCAGCAGUGGGGAAUUUUGCACAAUGGGGGAAACCCUGAUGCAGCGACGCCGCGUGAUUUAGAAGGCCUUCGGGUUGUAAAAAUCUUUUGUAUAGGAAGAAAAUGACAGUACUAUACGAAUAAGGUCCGGCUAAUUACGUG
rnacentral:rRNA from 1 species